GCCCCUAUAGCUCAGUGGUAGAGCGUUUCACUCGUAAUUGCGUCCAUUCUCUAGCACAUUCUAUAUAUGUGUUGAGUGUAUCGCAUGUAUGCGAUAUGAAGAGGUCCAUCGUUCAAUCCGGUGUGGGGGCA
rnacentral:tRNA from 1 species